UUUUGAGGCAAGUAAAUGAUU
rnacentral:piRNA from 1 species